AGCCAGUGUAGUUCAGUGGUUAGAGUGUCAGAGUAGGACCUGUGAGGCCAGGGUUCAAAUCCCCGCUCAGCUG